GAUGAACGCUGGCGGCGUGCCUAAUACAUGCAAGUCGAGCGAACAGACGAGGAGCUUGCUCCUCUGACGUUAGCGGCGGACGGGUGAGUAACACGUGGAUAACCUACCUAUAAGACUGGGAUAACUUCGGGAAACCGGAGCUAAUACCGGAUAACAUGUUGAACCGCAUGGUUCAACAGUGAAAGACGGUCUUGCUGUCACUUAUAGAUGGAUCCGCGCCGCAUUAGCUAGUUGGUAAGGUAACGGCUUACCAAGGCAACGAUGCGUGGCCGACCUGAGAGGGUGAUCGGCCACACUGGAACUGAGACACGGUCCAGACUCCUACGGGAGGCAGCAGUAGGGAAUCUUCCGCAAUGGGCGAAAGCCUGACGGAGCAACGCCGCGUGAGUGAAGAAGGUCUUCGGAUCGUAAAACUCUGUUAUUAGGGAAGAACAAAUGUGUAAGUAACUAUGCACGUCUUGACGGUACCUAAUCAGAAAGCCACGGCUAACUACGUG
rnacentral:rRNA from 1 species